rnacentral:rRNA from 1 species
AAUACAUGCAAGUCGAGCGGGAUUGGCAGCAAUGCCAUGAGAGCGGCGCACGGGUGAGUAACGCGUACACGACCUACCUCUAACAGGGGGAUAGCCCUGGGAAACUGGGAUUAAUACCGCAUAUAAUUCUGAUAUAUAAAUGAUCGGAAUGAAAGCUCAGGCGGUUAGAGAUGGGUGUGCGUCUGAUUAGCUAGUUGGUGAGGUAACGGCUCACCAAGGCGAUGAUCAGUAGGGGGCGUGAGAGCGUGGACCCCCACACGGGUACUGAGACACGGACCCGACUCCUACGGGAGGCAGCAGUAAGGAAUAUUGGACAAUGGCCGCAAGGCUGAUCCAGCCAUCCAGCGUGCAGGAAGAAGGCCCUACGGGUUGUAAACUGCUUUUGUCAGGGAAGAAACCCUUGGAUUGACUCCGAGCUGACGGUACCUGAAGAAUAAGCACCGGCUAACUCCGUGCCAGCAGCCGCGGUAAUACGGAGGGUGCGAGCGUUAUCCGGAAUUACUGGGUUUAAA